AAGCAAAUAUUAAAAUUUGUACCUUUUGCAUAAUGAUUUAGCUAGUUAACACAGACAAAAAGAACUUAUGCCUGACCCCCAAAAUUAAGUGAGCUACUAUAAAACAGUUAAUUAUGAACUAACUCCUCUAUGUAGCAAAAUAGUGAGAAGAUUUUAUAGUAGAAGUGAAAAACCUAUCGAACUUAAUGAUAGCUGGUUAUCUAAAAUAUGAAUUUUAGUUCAACCUUAAGUUUAACAUAAAGCAUUUUAAUAACUUAAGCAUAUCUUAAACUUAAUAGUUACUCAAAUGAGGGACAACUCAUUUGAUCUAGUAGACAGACUAGUAGAGGGUAAUGACUAAACCCCAUUGUAGGCCUAAAAGCAGCCACCAAUUAAGAAAGCAUUAAAGCUCAAAUACAAAAUUUUAUUUAAUACCAUAAAAUUAUCAAAACCCCUAUUAUAGUAUUGGAUGGUUCUAUUUAAUUAUGGAAGACAUAAUGCUAAAAUCAGUAAUAAGAAUUUAUUCUCCUCACAUAAGCCUAAGUUAGUCAAUGGAUAACCCACUAACACUUAACAAAAUAGUAAUUGUAUACAUUAACCAGUAAAUUACCUCAAUUAUUGUUAAUCCAACACAGGUAUGCAUUAUACAAGGACAGAUUAAAAAGAAUAAAAGGAACUCAGCAAUCCAAAACCCCACCUGUUUACCAAAAACAUCACCUCUAGCAUUUUAAGUAUUAGAGGCACUGCCUGGCCAUGGUAUCCUGACUGUGCAAAGGUAGCAUAAUCACUUGUCUCCUAAAUAGAGACUUGUAUGAAUGGCAAAACAAGAUCAAUGAAAUUG
rnacentral:ncRNA from 1 species